UACGUAGGGUGCGAGCGUUAAUCGGAAUUACUGGGCGUAAAGCGUGCGCAGGCGGUUUUGUAAGUCAGAUGUGAAAUCCCCGGGCUUAACCUGGGAACUGCGUUUGAAACUACAAGGCUAGAGUGUGGCAGAGGGGGGUGGAAUUCCACGUGUAGCAGUGAAAUGCGUAGAUAUCUGGAGGAACACCGGUGGCGAAGGCGGCAUCCUGGACCGGCAUUGACGCUGAGGAGCGAAAGCCAGGGGAGCAAACGGG
rnacentral:rRNA from 1 species